GAAAUGCGAUAAUUAAUGUGAAUUGCAGAAUUCAGUGAAUCAUCGAGUCUUUGAACGCACAUUGCGCCCCCUGGCAUUCCGGGGGGCAUGCCUGUCCGAGCGUCAUUGCUGCCCUCAAGCACGGCUUGUGUGUUGGGCUUCCGUCCCUGGCAACGGGGACGGGCCCAAAAGGCAGUGGCGGCACCAUGUCUGGUCCUCGAGCGUAUGGGGCUUUGUCACCCGCUCCCGUAGGUCCAGCUGGCAGCUAGCCUCGCAACCAAUCUUUUUAACCAGGUUGACCUCGGAUCAGGUAGGGAUACCCGCUGAACUUAAGC
rnacentral:misc_RNA from 1 species